rnacentral:lncRNA from 1 species
UUGGUUACCUGCGGCCAAACGUCGCCGCCCUAGGUACAGAAAGAGGGAGCCGACCAUAGAAAAGGGAACUCCAGUGGGGUUACGCCGACUGUGUUGGCGCGUCAACCGUGAAGCUCAUGCUGACUAUCGUUUAUCUGAUUACAAGGCGGUGGUGGUGCAAUUGAGACCUUACAGUCGGCGGCUAGGGUUAAUGACUCGAAGGUGAUGAAGGAGACGAUGUAGAUUAAGUUUCAGGCGAUCAAUGGUGUCAAAUGAUGGUCGUUCAGAACAAAUGGACGGUCGGCGGUGACGGUCAAAACAAGGGAACACGUUCUCGUCACCUAUAGUUUAGGGUUUUGAACGUACCGACGAUUAGGAAGGAGAUAUGUUUGGGUGCAUAUUAAAUUUGUUGGUUUUUGUUCUACUUCUUGAGACAUUCAUAAAAGAGAGAAGAAAAAAGAAGCAGUGACACUUCUCUCUCAUCUUCAUUUCCAAAAUACUGCACACAUAGUAAAGGUGAGAGAGAGGCAAGAUGGCAAUGUUCGUUUCAGUGUGCUUCAGGUCUGGUGAAGCAUGAAGGCGGUGGUCGUUUCGAGGUGCUUCAGGUCCACCGAGAAGAAGAGGUGCAACAGUGGCUACGGUUUUCAGCAGGGGUUCACUUACCGCCACUGGUUCAGCUCGACCAGAUUUCCGAGGAGGACUUGAAUGCUUACAGCGGCAACGAUCCUCAAAGGCCUCUUCUUAUGGCCAUCAAAGGCCAGAUCUAUGAGACUAUGAUGUCUCGCAAAACAGGUUAUCUACCAUCAAUUUCGAGGGUUUGAUUUAGUAUUACUUUCAGCUCAUCG